rnacentral:rRNA from 1 species
GUCUUUUUGAUUAUAAUUUAAAGUCCAACCUGCCCAAUGAAAUUUUAAAUGGCCGCGGUAUUUUGACCGUGCAAAGGUAGCAUAAUCAUUAGUUUUUUAAUUGAAAGCUGGUAUGAAUGGUUAGACGAGAAAAUUACUGUCUCAAUUUAAUUUAAUUAAAAUUUUAUUUUUAAGUUAAAAAGCUUAAAUGUAUUUAAAAGACGAGAAGACCCUAUAGAGUUUUAUAUAUAAAUAAGUAAUUUUAUUUAUAAUUAUUUGUACUUAUGAUAAUAUUUUAUUGGGGUGAUAAAUAAAUUUAUUAAACUUUAUUUUUUUAUUCACAUUGAUUUAUGAAUUAUUGAUCCAUUUUUUAUGAUUAAAAGAUUAAAUUACCUUAGGGAUAACAGCGUAAUUAUUUUUGAGAGUUCUAAUCGAAAAAAUAGAUUGCGACCUCGAUGUUGGAUUAAAGUUAAUUUUUGGUGUAGAAGCUAAAAUAUUGAGUCUGUUCGACUUUUGAAACUUUACAUGAUCUGAGUUUAAACCGGCGUGAGCCAGGUUGGUUUCUAUCUUUAAACAUCUAAAAUAUUUUAGUACGAAAGGACCAAAUAUUUGUAAAAUUUAUUUUAUUAUGAAUAA